rnacentral:rRNA from 1 species
GAUGAACGCUGGCGGCGUGCCUAAUACAUGCAAGUCGAGCGAACAGACGAGGAGCUUGCUCCUUUGACGUUAGCGGCGGACGGGUGAGUAACACGUGGAUAACCUACCUAUAAGACUGGGAUAACUCCGGGAAACCGGAGCUAAUACCGGAUAACAUGUUGAACCGCAUGGUUCAACAGUGAAAGACGGUCUUGCUGUCACUUAUAGAUGGAUCCGCGCCGCAUUAGCUAGUUGGUAAGGUAACGGCUUACCAAGGCAACGAUGCGUAGCCGACCUGAGAGGGUGAUCGGCCACACUGGAACUGAGACACGGUCCAGACUCCUACGGGAGGCAGCAGUAGGGAAUCUUCCGCAAUGGGCGAAAGCCUGACGGAGCAACGCCGCGUGAGUGAAGAAGGUCUUCGGAUCGUAAAACUCUGUUAUUAGGGAAGAACAAAUGUGUAAGUAACUAUGCACGUCUUGACGGUACCUAAUCAGAAAGCCACGGCUAACUACGUG